AACGAACGCUGGCGGCAUGCCUAACACAUGCAAGUCGAACGAGAUCUUCGGGUCUAGUGGCGCACGGGUGCGUAACGCGUGGGAAUCUGCCCUUUGGCUCGGAAUAACAGUUGGAAACGACUGCUAAUACCGGAUGAUGACGAAAGUCCAAAGAUUUAUCGCCAGAGGAUGAGCCCGCGUAGGAUUAGCUAGUUGGUGUGGUAAAGGCGCACCAAGGCGACGAUCCUUAGCUGGUCUGAGAGGAUGAUCAGCCACACUGGGACUGAGACACGGCCCAGACUCCUACGGGAGGCAGCAGUGGGGAAUAUUGGACAAUGGGCGAAAGCCUGAUCCAGCAAUGCCGCGAGAGUGAUGAAGGCCUUAGGGUUGUAAAGCUCUUUUACCCGGGAUGAUAAUGACAGUACCGGGAGAAUAAGCUCCGGCUAACUCCGUGCCAGCCGCCGCGGUAA
rnacentral:rRNA from 1 species